rnacentral:tRNA from 1 species
GGGUAUAGUUCAAUGGUAGAAUGCACUGCUUAGCAUGCACGAGGUCCUGGGUUCAAACCCAGGUACUUCCA